rnacentral:rRNA from 1 species
AACGCUAGCUACAGGCUUAACACAUGCAAGUCGAGGGGCAGCAUUUCGCUAGCAAUAGUGAAGAUGGCGACCGGCGCACGGGUGAGUAACACGUAUCCAACCUGCCGUCUACUCUUGGACAGCCUUCUGAAAGGAAGAUUAAUACAAGAUGGCAUCAUGAGUUCACAUGUUCACAUGAUUAAAGGUAUUCCGGUAGACGAUGGGGAUGCGUUCCAUUAGAUAGUAGGCGGGGUAACGGCCCACCUAGUCUUCGAUGGAUAGGGGUUCUGAGAGGAAGGUCCCCCACAUUGGAACUGAGACACGGUCCAAACUCCUACGGGAGGCAGCAGUGAGGAAUAUUGGUCAAUGGGCGCAGGCCUGAACCAGCCAAGUAGCGUGAAGGAUGACUGCCCUAUGGGUUGUAAACUUCUUUUAUAAAGGAAUAAAGUCGGGUAUGUAUACCCGUUUGCAUGUACUUUAUGAAUAAGGAUCGGCUAACUCCGUGCCAGCAGCCGCGGUAAUACGGAGGAUCCGAGCGUUAUCCGGAUUUAUUGGGUUUAAAGGGAGCGUAGAUGGAUGUUUAAGUCAGUUGUGAAAGUUUGCGGCUCAACCGUAAAAUUGCAGUUGAUACUGGAUAUCUUGAGUGCAGUUGAGGCAGGCGGAAUUCGUGGUGUAGCGGUGAAAUGCUUAGAUAUCACGAAGAACUCCGAUUG